GACGAACGCUGGCGGCGUGCCUAAUACAUGCAAGUAGAACGCUGAAGAGAGGAGCUUGCUCUUCUUGGAUGAGUUGCGAACGGGUGAGUAACGCGUAAGUAACCUGCCUUGUAGCGGGGGAUAACUAUUGGAAACGAUAGCUAAUACCGCAUAACAAUGGAUGACACAUGUCAUUUAUUUGAAAGGGGCAAUUGCUCCACUACAAGAUGGACCUGCGUUGUAUUAGCUAGUAGGUGAGGUAACGGCUCACCUAGGCGACGAUACAUAGCCGACCUGAGAGGGUGAUCGGCCACACUGGGACUGAGACACGGCCCAGACUCCUACGGGAGGCAGCAGUAGGGAAUCUUCGGCAAUGGGGGCAACCCUGACCGAGCAACGCCGCGUGAGUGAAGAAGGUUUUCGGAUCGUAAAGCUCUGUUGUAAGUCAAGAACGAGUGUGAGAGUGGAAAGUUCACACUGUGACGGUAGCUUACCAGAAAGGGACGGCUAACUACGUGCCAGCAGCCGCGGUAAUACGUAGGUCCCGAGCGUUGUCCGGAUUUAUUGGGCGUAAAGCGAGCGCAGGCGGUUUGAUAAGUCUGAAGUUAAAGGCUGUGGCUCAACCAUAGUUCGCUUUGGAAACUGUCAAACUUGAGUGCAGAAGGGGAGAGUGGAAUUCCAUGUGUAGCGGUGAAAUGCGUAGAUAUAUGGAGGAACACCGGUGGCGAAAGCGGCUCUCUGGUCUGUAACUGACGCUGAGGCUCGAAAGCGUGGGGAGCGAACAGGAUUAGAUACCCUGGUAGUCCACGCCGUAAACGAUGAGUGCUAGGUGUUGGAUCCUUUCCGGGAUUCAGUGCCGCAGCUAACGCAUUAAGCACUCCGCCUGGGGAGUACGACCGCAAGGUUGAAACUCAAAGGAAUUGACGGGGGCCCGCACAAGCGGUGGAGCAUGUGGUUUAAUUCGAAGCAACGCGAAGAACCUUACCAGGUCUUGACAUCCCGAUGCUAUUUCUAGAGAUAGAAAGUUACUUCGGUACAUCGGUGACAGGUGGUGCAUGGUUGUCGUCAGCUCGUGUCGUGAGAUGUUGGGUUAAGUCCCGCAACGAGCGCAACCCCUAUUGUUAGUUGCCAUCAUUCAGUUGGGCACUCUAGCGAGACUGCCGGUAAUAAACCGGAGGAAGGUGGGGAUGACGUCAAAUCAUCAUGCCCCUUAUGACCUGGGCUACACACGUGCUACAAUGGUUGGUACAACGAGUUGCGAGUCGGUGACGGCAAGCUAAUCUCUUAAAGCCAAUCUCAGUUCGGAUUGUAGGCUGCAACUCGCCUACAUGAAGUCGGAAUCGCUAGUAAUCGCGGAUCAGCACGCCGCGGUGAAUACGUUCCCGGGCCU
rnacentral:rRNA from 1 species